rnacentral:rRNA from 1 species
CUACGGGGGGCUGCAGUGAGGAAUAUUGCACAAUGGGGGGAACCCUGAUGCAGCAACGCCGCGUGGAGGAUGACGCAUUUCGGUGUGUAAACUCCUUUUAUAUGUCAAGAAAAUGACGGUAGCAUAUGAAUAAGCACCGGCUAACUCCGUGCCAGCAGCCGACGGUAAUAGGAGGGUGCAAGCGUUACUCGGAAUCACUGGGCGUAAAGGACGCGUAGGCGGGUUGGAAAGUCAGGUGUGAAAUCCUACAGCUUAACUGUAGAACUGCACUUGAAACUUCUAAUCUAGAGUAUGGGAGGGGGAGAUGGAAUUAGUGGUGUAGGGGUAAAAUCCGUAGAUAUCACUAGGAAUACCUAAAGCGAAGGCGAUCUCCUGGAACAUUACUGACGCUAAGGCGUGAAAGCGUGGGGAGCAAACAGGAUUAGAUACCCUAGUAGUC